AUGAAGACGGCACUGAUCCUUGGUUUUCUCAAAGGCCGGAAACGCCCCCUGGGAUGCAGCAGAGUACAAUCAACUCAUUUCCGCAGGGCCGUUGCUGCCACUACUAGAGCAGUACGGAUACCAUGGCAAGUUCAGGCACAGAGCUCUAACGUUGACAGAUGUACAGGAGACCAACUUCAAGUAGCCAAUGUGGCAAAUCAAGGACCUUCAUGCAGCACGUGGCAACAGGCGUCGUACACAGGUUGUUAUGGUGGAACCACGUCGGCAAAUGUAUCGUGGCAAGCUUUAUUGUUGCAGAACAACGCUAUUGCAGAUAGAGCACAUCAAACUGGAAUGACAGACCGACUUCGAUUAGCACAUGCGGCACAACAAGGAUUUGUCAAUUGCUGUCCGCUUGACCUUCAACUACAAUCAACAGCGGCGCGAGAACAUCUCCACCAGCAAGUCAACAAUCCUGCCACAAACAAUGCAGAAUCAGUGUCAGAAAUGGCAAUUAUUCCAGUAAUGACGACAAGCACACCUUUGCACACCAGCACAAGCAACACUCAAGGAGAUGAAACAACCGCCGAUACUGAAGUGAAUGAUGAAACUGGUGACGAAGCACAAGGGGAUGAAGAAGGUGGGCAAUCAGAAAUCAUGAUACCUCAACCACCAGGUGAGAUAAGGUGCUACAAGGCACGAAGGAACAAGAAGGGUAAAGGUGUUGCGCUUGUCGUGCCGGAACGAAAGAGAGGUAUCAUUGUCAAGACGGAAUGCCCUGUCCGGUGUAAGCUAAAUGCAGAUGGAGCACGGUGGGUGGUCACCGAAUAUUUCGACGAACACAACCACAAACUCACAAAGAAGUUUGACCUGUUUGGUUGCGGACUCGUUCGGAACGAAGAUACGGAUGGUUACACUUGGCUGUUCAAAACCUUCUUGGAGUGCAUGGGUGGACUUGCUCCGAUGAACAUAAUAACAGACCAGGAUUUUAGCAUGCGUGCAGGCAUAGCGGAGGUCUUUCCGUUGGCAGUGCACAGGCACUGCAGGUGGCAUAUUAUUAAGAAGGCUGAGGAGACGCUAGGACCAUUCUUUGCUGACCGUCCAAAGCUACACAAGGCAUUCGAGUUGUGCGUGGACCACAGCUUGACGACUACUCAGCGCAGCAAGGGGUUCAAUGCUGUUUUGAAGCGGUACUUGAGCCCUGGCAGCUCAUUGCUGCAGUUUGCCAAGCAGUACACAACUUUGCAACAGAAAAUACUGGGAACUGAGCUACAUCAAGAAGCAAACACCGUGCUCAAGCAGCCUGAAUUGCUAACAUAUUUACCGAUGGAGAGGCAGAUGAGUAAGAUAUAUACCAACAAGAUUUUUAACAAAUUCCAGGAAGAAAUAAAGCGUGCCAGCAUGUACACAGCUUACCAGGUGGACGAACAUACGUUCAAGGUGUGUUCUCUCUUGGGCAUGUCGGAUUCAGAACCUGAAGACCCGGACAAGGGAAGGAACUACUUCGUGAAGGCCUCGAUAAAUGAAGGCGAAUACUACUACCAAUGCUGCAAAUUCGAACAGGACGGGAUUGUGUGCUGUCACAUACUGAAAGUAAUGGACAUGCACGCGGUAACGCGAUUGCCCCGCCAUUUCAUACGGCGGAGAUGGACUUGGGACACUGACGAUGCGUUGGGGCCACAAACAUCAAAUGUAGUUUUGGCUGUGCAUGAUGAGAGACCAGAGGCAACCAUGGACGCCGUGAGGCACGUUGUGUUGACCAAGAACUAUGCUGAACUAAUAGAUGAAGCAUGCAAGAGUGACGAGACAGCGAGGGUGGCAGAAAAAACACAGGAAGGCCCUGAAAAGAGAGCUUGA
rnacentral:rRNA from 1 species